rnacentral:rRNA from 1 species
UACGAGACUGCCGGUAAAAAGCCGGAGGAAGGUGAGGAUGAUGUCAAGUCAGCAUGGCCUUUAUAUCCUGGGCUACACACACGCUACAAUGGCCAACACAAUAGGUUGCUAAGCCGCGAGGUGGCGCCAAUCCAUAAAGUUGGUCUCAGUUCAGAUUGUAGGCUGCAACCCGCCUGCAUGAAGAUGGAGUUGCUAGUAACCGCAGGUCAGCUAUACUGCGGUGAAUACGUUCCCGGGGCUU